CGGGGAGUAGCUCAGUGGUUGGGCUCCCGCUUCGUAUGCGUGAGGACCCGGGUUCGAUUCCCGGCUGCUCAC
rnacentral:tRNA from 1 species